GAUGUUGUUCAUCGUCUGCUGCGUGAGCUUCUAUGUCAUUCUGGUUUCAGGUUCCUCUAAAAGUGACCAAGUUUUUCAGACUCCAGCUCACAUCUACAGAAACCGAGGAGAAACAGCUGAAAUCAACUGUUCACACAGUAUUCAGGACUACAACCGAAUGCUCUGGUACAAGAAGUCGGGAAACAGAACAUUACAGUUCCUGGGAUACAGUUAUUUGAGCAGCCAUAAUCCUGAACCUGGAGUGGAUGUGAAGAUGACUGGGAGUGCAGAUAAAGACAAGACCUGCACAUUAACAGUUGAAAGCCUCAACUUGAGCAGCAGUGCAGUUUACUUCUGUGCUGCCAGUUACCACAGUACCACGAAUGACUGA